rnacentral:rRNA from 1 species
AUACGUAGGUGGCGAGCGUUAUCCGGAUUUACUGGGUGUAAAGGGUGUGUAGGCGGACGUACAAGUCAGAUGUGAAAAGCCACGGCUCAACUGUGGUCCUGCAUUUGAAACUGUACGCCUUGAGAGUGGGAGAGGUAAGCGGAAUUCCCGGUGUAGCGGUGAAAUGCGUAGAGAUCGGGAGGAACACCAGUGGCGAAGGCGGCUUACUGGACCACAACAGACGCUGAGACACGAAAGCGUGGGGAGCAAACAGGUUUAGAUACCCUGGUAGUCCACGCCAUAAACGAUGAAUACUAGGUGUGAGCGUGCAAACGUUCGUGCCGCAGUUAACACAAUAAGUAUUCCACCUGGGGAGUACGGCCGCAAGGUUGAAACUCAAAGGAAUUGACGGGG